rnacentral:RNase_P_RNA from 13 species
AGAAACAGAACCACAAACCGAAAAAAAAGAGGAAGAAGAAAAAGUAAAAACACCACCCCCAAUGGAAGGUUCAGUCAUUGGAUGAAGAAUCUCCCUCCCUCCCUCUCUUCUCUUCUUCUCUCUCUCUCUCUCUCUCAAAGUGAUCUCAAAAAAAAAAAAGAAAGAAAAACUUGUCUUUCUCAUUUUUCUCCUUCCCCAAGAGAACAACAAUAUAUUUG